UCUUUUGCUUUUGUCCUGCUCAGAGAUGAUGAUCAUACUGCUCAUACAUGCGGCUGCUCUGCAGCUCUGUUCAGCAGAGCUCUCAACAAAAAGCAUCCAUCAGGAUCCUCCUGACCUGAUCGAAGACCCUGGAAAAGAAAUCAAGAUUAACUGCCGCCACUCUGACAGUGAUUUUAAUAUGAUCCAGUGGUACAAACAGUCUGCUGGGAGUGCAGAAAUGACUCUCAUUGGGUAUGCGAGGUAUACCGUUUUGGCUGUUGAACAUCCAUUCAAGGAAUUUUAUAACGUGAGCGGUGAUGGGAAAAGUCUGUCAUCUCUCCAUUUUGUGGCGCUGAACAAAGCCAAUAACAGCGCGGUGUAUUUCUGUGCCGCCAGCGAUUAUGAAGCCUAUUUCGGGCCGGGCACAAAAGUGACUGUUCUUGAACCAAACUGUCCUAUCACCAGGCCAAGAGUGACAGUGCUCACGCCUUCAGAAAAAGAGUGUGAAAAUGAAAAGGAAAAGACAAAGAAGAAGACCUUGGUGUGUGUGGCCUCUGGUUUCUACCCGGACCAUGUGAGCGUGUCCUGGCAGAUCAACAGGGAAGAUGUGAAAAAAGGGGUGGCCACCGACAGUGCUGCCCUGCGGGAUGGGAAAUAUUAUCGCCUCACCAGCAGGCUGAGGGUCCCGCUCCAUCAGUGGCACGUGCCGGACACGAAUUUCACCUGCACCGUCAGCUUCUUCGAUGGAAACACGACUGUGUACACGUCAAACUGGACCACAGGCAUUUUAAAACCUCGAGUUGUAAGAGGCAAAUACAUGAGGACCACUCACAGUGCCAAACUGUGCUACAGCACUUUGAUCGUCAAGAGCAGCAUCUAUGGAGUCUUUGUGGUGUUUUUGAUGUGGAGGCUUCAGGCUCCACCUGGAAAACAGAACAACGCAGAGCUGAGCUGAACGGCUGGGUGGGUUCUCUGGGUUCAAUCAGCUGAUCACAUUCUGCACAACUUAGAGCAACUGGCGCGACUCAAAAGCAUUUGCAUGGUUUUAUAAUCCAAAGCUGGUUAAUAUUUUAUGAUACUUUCUGUUUGUGUAAGUGCUUGUGAACUGCUUUAAGCUGAAUUUUCUGCUCAAUAAACCCAUUUCAGAAGCGA